GAUCGGUAGCUCAGUUGGUUAGAGUGUGGCGAUGAUAAUGCCAAGGUUGCAGGUUCGAUUCCCUGUAUGAGACA